rnacentral:pre_miRNA from 1 species
AGGGCUUAGCUGCUUGUGAACAGGUUCCCCCCCAAGUCGUGUUCACAGUGGCUAAGUUCCGC